UACGUAGGGUGCGAGCGUUGUCCGGAAUUAUUGGGCGUAAAGAGCUCGUAGGCGGUGUGUCGCGUCGGCCGUGAAAACCUGGGGCUUAACUCUGGGCGUGCGGUCGAUACGGGCAUCACUAGAGUUCGGCAGGGGAGACUGGAAUUCCUGGUGUAGCGGUGAAAUGCGCAGAUAUCAGGAAGAACACCUAUGGCGAAGGCAGCUCUCUGGGACGGUACUGACGCUGAGACGCGAAAGCGUGGGGAGCGAACAGG
rnacentral:rRNA from 1 species